GACGGAGGAGGAAAGCGUUAUCCGGAAUUAUUGGGCGUAAAGGGUACGUAUGCGGCUGGUCAAGUCUGGGGUCAAAGGCCACAGCUAAACUGUGGGAAGGCCCUGGAAACUGACCGGCUAGAGUGAGGUAGGGGUUGCGGGAAUUCCCGGUGUAGCGGUGAAAUGCGUAGAGAUCGGGAAGAACACCUGAGGCGGAAGCGCGCAUUUGGUCCUCAACUGACGCUGAGGUACGAAAGCUAGGGGAGCGAAUGGG
rnacentral:rRNA from 1 species